rnacentral:rRNA from 1 species
GAUCAUGGCUCAGGAUGAACGCUAGCGGCAGGCCUAAUACAUGCAAGUCGAACGGUGUCUUCGGACAUAGUGGCGCACGGGUGCGUAACACGUAUGCAACCUACCUUACAUUGGGGGAUAGCCUUUCGAAAGGGAGAUUAAUACCGCAUAAGACAGUAGCUGGGCAUCCAGCAGCUGUUAAAGAUUUAUCGAUGUAAGAUGGGCAUGCGUCCAAUUAGUUAGUUGGCGAGGUAACGGCUCACCAAGACUUUGAUUGGUAGGGGAACUGAGAGGUCAAUCCCCCACACUGGCACUGAGAUACGGGCCAGACUCCUACGGGAGGCAGCAGUAGGGAAUAUUGGGCAAUGGACGCAAGUCUGACCCAGCCAUGCCGCGUGCAGGAUGAAGGCGUUAUGCGUUGUAAACUGCUUUUAUACAGGAAGAAACGACUCUUGCGAGAGGCAUUGACGGUACUGUAUGAAUAAGCACCGGCUAACUCCGUGCCAGCAGCCGCGGUAAUACGGAGGGUGCAAGCGUUGUCCGGAUUUAUUGGGUUUAAAGGGUGCGCAGGUGGCUUAUUAAGUCAGUGGUGAAAGACGGUCGCUCAACGAUUGCAGUGCCAUUGAAACUGGUAGACUUGAGUAAAGUAGAGGUGGGCGGAAUUGAUAGUGUAGCGGUGAAAUGCAUAGAUAUUAUCAAGAACUCCAAUUGCGUAGGCAGCUCACUUGGCUUUUACUGACACUCAUGCACGAAAGUGUGGGUAUCAAACAGGAUUAGAUACCCUGGUAGUCCACACUGUAAACGAUGAUAACUAGGUGUCGGCCGAAUCUGGUCGGUGCCACAG